rnacentral:lncRNA from 1 species
GUUAUUUUUACAUAAUUUCACAGUGGUUAAAUUCCUUCUAGAAAGUAAAUUUUAUUUUUAUCUGAAAUAGAUUAAUGCACAAUAAAGAAUGUAGGCAUGCCCCCAAAUCAAAAAUUUGAAAGAACUUGGGAAUCACUCUUCUAAAGUAUGGCUGUUAAAGCGUAUGACACUUGUAACAGAUUUGUAUUUAGAUCUGCCCUCAUAAUGAGGAUUAUCAUCUAUUCCUGCAACAUUUAAGAAUGGCCAGUAGCCUGUAGACUCUAGAAACAAUCAAACUCACCUAAUGGAGUCUCAUGUUACAUUUACAUGUUUCAUGAUUUUACUGUUUCAGAAUUCAGAGUGUCAUUCCCUUAUUAAAUAUGAUAAUUCUUUUGACAAUAUAAUGGUAACCAAGUAUUUCCGUAGAUGUUCCCAGUUAAUGCAGUGAUAUUAAAACUUGCAUGAUUGCACAAUUUGUUGAAUUCAAGAUAACUUAAGUCAUAGAAAGGCAAAUGAUUUUCCAACACUUGCAGGUUUAUUUAAACUCUUCUGUACCCACCACAUACUUUAAAUCAUGACAGGAAAGUUGCCACGUGCAUG